CCCCACCACUGGAAAGAAUGUGGAACUUAUGAUCUCACCAUGUGAAGGAAUGUGACAAGCAUGUGUACAUAUUUAUCUCCUUCUCUUUCUCUUUCCUCGCCCCCUCUGUCCCUCAUAUUGGAAAGUUUGGUGAAGGUCAAAUGACCUAUGGCGUGUAGUCGGGGUGCUGAAUGUUGGCCGUAUAGAUUUGAACUGAGAUCUUGGUUGACCUCUGUUUUAGAAAAGAUUUAAAUACUCCAGCUGAUGUAGUAAUGCUGAGGUUAAUCAU
rnacentral:lncRNA from 1 species